UACGGGAGGCAGCAGUGGGGAAUAUUGCACAAUGGGCGCAAGCCUGAUGCAGCCAUGCCGCGUGUAUGAAGAAGGCCUUCGGGUUGUAAAGUACUUUCAGUCGUGAGGAAGGUGUUAAGGUUAAUAACCUUAGCAAUUGACGUUAGCGACAGAAGAAGCACCGGCUAACUCCGUGCCAGCAGCCGCGGUAAUACGGAGGGUGCGAGCGUUAAUCGGAAUUACUGGGCGUAAAGGGCACGCAGGCGAUUAAUUAAGUUGGAUGUGAAAUCCCCGGGCUUAACCUGGGAAUGGCAUUCAAGACUGGUUAGCUAGAGUCUUGUAGAGGGGGUAGAAUUCCAUGUGUAGCGGUGAAAUGCGUAGAGAUGUGGAGGAAUACCGGUGGCGAAGGCGGCCCCUGGACAAAGACUGACGCUCAUGUGCGAAAGCGUGGGGAGCAAACAGGAUUAGAUACC
rnacentral:rRNA from 1 species